GGGGAUAUAGCUCAGUUGGUAGAGUGUUUGCCUCGAAUGCAUAAGGCCCUGAGUUGGAUCCCCAGCACCACCA
rnacentral:tRNA from 1 species